UGAGGAAUAUUGCGCAAUGGGGGCAACCCUGACGCAGCGACGCCGCGUGAGUGAGGAAGGCCUUCGGGUCGUAAAGCUCUGUCAAAGGGAAAGAAGUGCAUGGUGGUUAAUACCUGCCAUGUUUGACGGUACCCUUAAAGGAAGCACCGGCUAACUCCGUGCCAGCAGCCGCGGUAAUACGGAGGGUGCAAGCGUUGUUCGGAAUUACUGGGCGUAAAGGGCGCGUAGGCGGUUUGAUAAGUCAGAUGUGAAAGCCCACGGCUUAACCGGGGAAGUGCAUUUGAAACGGGCAGACUUGAGUACCAGAGGGGAAAGUGGAAUUCCCGGUGUAGAGGUGAAAUUCGUAGAUAUCGGGAGGAAUACCGGUGGCGAAGGCGACUUUCUGGCUGGAUACUGACGCUGAGGCGCGAAAGCGUGGGGAGCAAACA
rnacentral:rRNA from 1 species